UCCCUGGUGGCUGAAAGGUUAAAGCAUCUGCCUGCAAUGUGGGAGACCUGGGUUCGAUCCCUGGAUCGGGAA
rnacentral:tRNA from 1 species